rnacentral:lncRNA from 1 species
UAGAUGGAGUAGCUGGUGGCACGACGAGGAGUCACAGAGGCAGUAGCGGGAGCAGCUACUGGAUCAGCGGUGGGCAUAGCCACUGAUGACAGUACCUACAGGAGAGGUGUCCGAAUGCAGGAUGAGAUCGUCAGCCAUAAGGGAGGCAGUGGCGGUCUCCCAGACAGCUCCAAGACUGAGAUAUACUGCGGUGGCGAGGAGGUCUGCACAACUGGCUUUACUCCUCAUUGGCCUGAUCGUGCUGAGGAUCAGAGCUCAAUAAAGAGUGGAGAUUGCCAAGAUUUUGAGAGCACUAAGGUGGAGAUUAUAGGAUUUUUUAUGAUGCCU